rnacentral:misc_RNA from 1 species
AAGUCGUAACAAGGUUUCCGUAGGUGAACCUGCGGAAGGAUCAUUAACGAGUAACUGAACAGGUUGUAGCUGGCCUCUAGGGGCAUGUGCACGCCUGGCUCAUCCACUCUUCAACCUCUGUGCACCUGUUGUAGGUCGGUGGAAGGGCAAAGUAGUAAGUGAGGUCUCAGGACUUUGCUUACUCUCUGCUUGGAAGCCUUCCUAUGUUUCAUUACAAACGCUUCAGUUUAAGAAUGUAAUCUCUGCGUAUAACGCAUCUAUAUACAACUUUCAGCAACGGAUCUCUUGGCUCUC